UAGCUCGUAGUUGGAUUUCUGCUGGAAGCAGCCAGUCCGCCCUCAGGGGUGUGCACUUGGUGAAUUCUAGCAUCCUUCUGGAUUUCUCCACACUUCAUUGUGUGGAGUUUUUUCCAGGACUUUUACUUUGAGAAAAUUAGAGUGUUUCAAGCAGGCUUGUCGCCUUGAAUACUGCAGCAUGGAAUAAUAGGAUAGGAUUUCGGCCCUAUUUUGUUGGUUUCUAGGACUGAAGUAAUGAUUAAUAGGGACGGUUGGGGGCAUUCGUAUUUAACUGUCAGAGGUGAAAUUCUUAGAUUUGUUAAAGACGAACUACUGCGAAAGCAUUUGCCAAAGAUGUUUUCAUUAAUCAAGAACGAAAGUUAGGGGCUCGAAGACGAUCAGAUACCGUCGUAGUCUUAACCAUAAACUAUGCCGACUAGAGAUAGGAAAACGUCAUGCUUGA
rnacentral:rRNA from 1 species